rnacentral:rRNA from 1 species
CCUACGGGUGGCAGCAGUGAGGAAUAUUGGUCAAUGGGCGCGAGCCUGACCCAGCCACGUAGCGUGAAGGAUGACUGCCCUACGGGUUGUAAACUUCUUUUGUAAAGAAAUACAGUCAGGCCCGUAUGCAUUUUUGUAUGUACUUUAUGAAUAAGGAUCGGCUAACUCCGUUCCAGCAGCCGCGGUACUACGGAGGAUCCGAGCGUUAUCCGGAUUUAUUGGGUUUAAAGGGAGCGUAGAUGGGUUGUUAAGUCAGGUGUGAAAGCGUGCGGCUCAACCGUAAAAUUGCAAUUGAUACUGGCAGUCUUGAGUACAGGUGAGGUAGGCGGAAUUCGUGGUGUAGCGGUGAAAUGCGUAGAUAUCACGAAGAACUUCGAUUGCGAAGGCAGCUUACUAAACUGCCACUGACAUUGAUGCGCGAAAGUGUGGGUAUCAAACAGGAUUAGAUACCCCUGUAGUC